GACAGAGGCCUCAAGCGUUAGGCGGAAUCACUGGGCUUAAAGCGUGUGUAGGCGGAUCGUUAAGUGUCUUGUGAAAUCCCACGGCUCACCCGUGGAACGGCUGGGCAUACUGGCGAUCUUGGGCCAACUAGGGGCAACUGGAACAAGCGGUGGAGCGGUGAAAUGCGUAGAUAUCGUAAGGAAGACCAGCGGCGAAGGCGAGUUCCUGGACAGUUGCUGACGCUGAGGCACGAAGGCCAGGGGAGCAAACGGG
rnacentral:rRNA from 1 species